rnacentral:rRNA from 1 species
CCUACGGGAGGCAGCAGUGAGGAAUAUUGGACAAUGGGCGCAAGCCUGAUCCAGCCAUGCCGCGUGCAGGAAGACGGUCCUAUGGAUUGUAAACUGCUUUUGUACAGGAAGAAACACUCCCUCGUGAGGGAGCUUGACGGUACUGUAAGGAUAAGGAUCGGCUAACUCCGUGCCAGCAGCCGCGGUAAUACGGAGGAUCCAAGCGUUAUCCGGAAUCAUUGGGUUUAAAGGGUCCGUAGGCGGUUUAAUAAGUCAGUGGUGAAAUCUGGUCGCUCAACGAUCAAACGGCCAUUGAUACUGUUAGACUUGAAUUAUUAGGAAGUAACUAGAAUAUGUAGUGUAGCGGUGAAAUGCUUAGAUAUUACAUGGAAUACCAAUUGCGAAGGCAGGUUACUACUAAUGGAUUGACGCUGAUGGACGAAAGCGUGGGGAGCGAACAGGAUUAGAUACCCUGGUAGUCCACGCCGUAAACGAUGGAUACUAGCUGUUGGGCGCAAGUUCAGUGGCUAAGCGAAAGUGAUAAGUAUCCCACCUGGGGAGUAACGUUGCAAGAAUGAAACUUCAAAUUGAAUUGAGGG